GUCUAUUUGAAGAUAUAAAAAGUCGGGCCUGCUCACUGACUAAAAAUUUAAGAGCCGCGGUAUUAUGACCGUGCAAAGGUAGCAUAAUCAUUAGGUUUUUAAAUGGGAUCUUGUAUGAAUGGUUGGACAAAGGAAAAGCUGUCUUUAUUUUAAAAUUUGAAUUUUACUUUUGAGUGAGAAGGCUUAAAUAUUUUAGAGGGACGAUAAGACCCUAUAAAGCUUUACAUUGUAAUUAUAUUUAAUUGAAAUUAAAAAUUAAAAAUUUAAUUUAAGAAUAUGUUUUAUUGGGGAGAUAAAAGUAUAAAUUAUAUUAACUGCUUUAAUAAAAAACAAUUUUAUUAAUGAAUUGUUAAUUUUAAGAGAUCCUAUAGAUGAUAUAGAAAAAAGGUUAAGUU
rnacentral:rRNA from 1 species